GAGCAGCCAGCUCGGGAGCUCCUCCGCCUGCAUGGAUUGCGCCACAUGGUCGAUGGCGAGGAGCGGCGAU
rnacentral:sRNA from 1 species